rnacentral:rRNA from 1 species
UACGGAGGGUGCGAGCGUUGUCCGGAAUCACUGGGCGGAAAGGGCGCGUAGGCGGCUUCUCAAGCGUGUGGUGAAAGUCCGGGGCUCAACCCCGGAUCGGCCGUGCGGACUGGGGAGCUCGAGUUCUGUAGAGGCGGGUGGAAUUCCGGGUGUAGCGGUGGAAUGCGUAGAGAUCCGGAGGAACACCAGCGGCGAAGGCGGCAUCCUGGACUGGUACUGACGCUGAGACGCGAAAGCGUGGGGAGCGAACAGG